AGAGUUUGAUCCUGGCUCAGAUUGAACGCUGGCGGCAUGCCUUACACAUGCAAGUCGAACGGUAACAGCACUUCGGUGGCUGACGAGUGGCGAACGGGUGAGUAAUACAUCGGAACGUGCCCGAGAGUGGGGGAUAACGCAGCGAAAGCUGUGCUAAUACCGCAUACGAUCUACGGAUGAAAGCAGGGGACCGCAAGGCCUUGCGCUCACGGAGCGGCCGAUGGCAGAUUAGGUAGUUGGUGGGAUAAAAGCUUACCAAGCCGACGAUCUGUAGCUGGUCUGAGAGGACGACCAGCCACACUGGGACUGAGACACGGCCCAGACUCCUACGGGAGGCAGCAGUGGGGAAUUUUGGACAAUGGGCGAAAGCCUGAUCCAGCCAUGCCGCGUGCAGGAUGAAGGCCUUCGGGUUGUAAACUGC
rnacentral:rRNA from 1 species